UGGGGAAUAUUGCACAAUGGGGGAAACCCUGAACCAGCAACGCCGCGUGAGGGAAGACGGUUUUCGGAUUGUAAACCUCUGUCCUCUGUGAAGAUGAUGACGGUAGCAGAGGAGGAAGCUCCGGCUAACUACGUGCCAGCAGCCGCGGUAAUACGUAGGGAGCGAGCGUUGUCCGGAUUUACUGGGUGUAAAGGGUGCGUAGGCGGCUUGGCAAGUCAGUAGUGAAAUCCAUGGGCUUAACCCAUGAACUGCUAUUGAAACUGUCGAGCUUGAGUGAAGUAGAGGUAGGCGGAAUUCCCGGUGUAGCGGUGAAAUGCGUAGAGAUCGGGAGGAACACCAGUGGCGAAGGCGGCCUACUGGGCUUUAACUGACGCUGAGGCACGAAAGCGUGGGUAGCAAACAGG
rnacentral:rRNA from 1 species